UGAACGCUGGCGGCGUGCUUAACACAUGCAAGUCGAACGAGAAAGGGAUUGCUUGCAAUCCUGAGUAGAGUGGCGCACGGGUGAGUAACACGUAGAUAAUCUACCUUCAAGCCCGGGAUAACUAUUCGAAAGGAUGGCUAAUACCGGAUGAAGUAUGUUGAUAUAAGUUGACCUAUGAAAGAUUGCCUCUUCUUGAAAGCAAUUGUUUGAAGAUGAGUUUGCGGACCAUUAGUUAGUUGGUGGGGUAAAGGCCUACCAAGACGACGAUGGUUAGCUGGUCUGAGAGGAUGAUCAGCCACACUGGAACUGGUACACGGUCCAGACUCCUACGGGAGGCAGCAGUGAGGAAUUUUGCGCAAUGGGGGAAACCCUGACGCAGCAACGCCGCGUGAGUGAAGAAGGCCCUUGGGUCGUAAAGCUCUGUCGACAGGGAAGAAAUUAACAUCAUCCAAUAGGUGUUGUUAUUGACGGUACCUGUAGAGGAAGCACCGGCUAACUCC
rnacentral:rRNA from 1 species